AGGGUCUUCAUGAUGAGUCCGUACAAAGUUGUCGGUAAAAUGGGUUCUGUUUGUUGAUGUUUAUAUACCCAAGCCCAUUGGUAGUUUCGAUACAACGGCGUUGCACAAGAAAGGAAGAGUAAUGGGGCUAACUGAAGUGCUAUUGGUUGAUCAGUUGACAGGUAGGUAAAGCUACGUUACGCCUUUCCAAGGUUAUGUAAAGGAGAUGCAGUUUCCGUCGUCAAGGGCAGCGAUCCUUCUGGUUCGAGAACAGAUGAAUUGAAGAAGAAUACUGAUCAAAAAGGCUGAAGAACUUGCUGAGUUAACGUUUGAUAACCAAAAGUCUACAAAAGUUUAAUAAGGACCCCAUGGGCGGUAAGGGGUGUAUGGACCCCAGGGCCUUCCGUACGGGCCCCAAGGACGGCCGUAUGGGCCCCAUGGACGACCGCCGUAGUAUCCUCCGUAUGGACGUCCACCCAAGGCAAUGGUAAGGCGCUGUUGUUCGAUUUGCUGAUCCGGAGUAAAUGGAGGAAUGAUAACGGGUGCUGGAUUGCGUAAGACUGUUGGAAUGGCAGUUUCAUCAGACAUUACGUUGCGAGUAUCUGACGUAUCGUCGUCAACCAGGACCAUUCCAUUGACCAUUCCAACUGGAACUGCAUGUCGGCUCUCUCGAACAGCAGGAUUUGCUGAGACGGCACCAAAGAAAACGACGAGGCAGGCAAUCUUUAAUAACAACAAUUAAAGUUAAGGUCUAGGCUUUUAAGAGUUUACUUAUCAAUAACGAACUUACGAAAGUGAGUUUGUUCAUUGUGAAUGUUGACAGAGCGAACGUUGCCAAAGUAAUGCUGAUGCCAAUGUUCAGUUGGGGUUUAUAUACGAAAACUUGCAGGCACUUUGGUUACGCUUAAAGUUAGUGGUGUAACGUCAAUUUCACUGCCAUUGGUUAUUUCUGCACAGGUAGGAAGGGAUGUUUCUGACCUGCAGCAACAAAAACUUGCCAAA